AGAGUUUGAUCCUGGCUCAGGAUGAACGCUAGCGGCAGGCCUAACACAUGCAAGUCGAACGGUAAGGUCCUUUCGGGGAUACACGAGUGGCGAACGGGUGAGUAACGCGUAUGUAACUUUCCUCUGGCUUGAGAAUAGCUUCGAGAAAUCGAAAUUAAUACUCUAUGAAAUCUUAGUAACGCAUGUUAUUAAGAUGAAACCUCCGGCGGCUAGAGAUAGGCAUGCGUGACAUUAGCCAGAUGGUGAGGUAACGGCUCACCAUAGCUUUGAUGUCUAUGGGGUCUAAAAGGAUGGUCCCACACACUGGUACUGAGACACGGACCAGACUCCUACGGGAGGCAGCAGUGAGGAAUAUUGGUCAAUGGACGAAAGUCUGAACCAGCCAUGCCGCGUGCAGGAUGACAGCCCUAUGGGUCGUAAACUGCUUUUAUACAGGAAGAAAAUAUCCCACGUGUGGGAAACUGACGGUACUGUAUGAAUAAGCAUCGGCUAACUCCGUGCCAGCAGCCGCGGUAAUACGGAGGAUGCAAGCGUUAUCCGGAUUUAUUAGGUUUAAAGGGUGCGUAGGCGGAAAGGUAAGUCAGUGGUGAAAUCCUACAGCUCAACUGUAGAACUGCCAUUGAUACUGUCUUUCUUGAGUACAGUUGAGGUAGGCGGAAUGUGUAAUGUAGCGGUGAAAUGCUUAGAUAUUACACAGAACACCGAUUGCGUAGGCAGCUUACUAAACUGUUACUGACGCUGAGGUACGAAAGCGUGGGGAGCGAACAGGAUUAGAUACCCUGGUAGUCCACGCCGUAAACGAUGAUUACUCGUUGUGUGCAAUAUAUAGUACGCGACUGAGCGAAAGCAUUAAGUAAUCCACCUGGGGAGUACGAUCGCAAGAUUGAAACUCAAAGGAAUUGACGGGGGCCCGCACAAGCGGAGGAACAUGUGGUUUAAUUCGAUGAUACGCGAGGAACCUUACCUGGGCUCAAACGCGAGUGACCAUCCCGGAAACGGGAUUUCCCUUCGGGGCACAAAGCGAGGUGCUGCAUGGCUGUCGUCAGCUCGUGCCGUGAGGUGUCGGGUUAAGUCCCAUAACGAGCGCAACCCCUAUCAUUAGUUGCCAGCGGAUAAUGCCGGGGACUCUAAUGAGACUGCCAGUGUAAACUGCGAGGAAGGUGGGGAUGACGUCAAGUCAGCACGGCCCUUAUGUCCAGGGCUACACACGUGUUACAAUGGCUGGUACAAAGGGCAGCUACAUAGUAAUAUGAUGCUAAUCUCAAAAGCCGGUCUUAGUUCGGAUCGAAGUCUGCAACUCGACUUCGUGAAGUUGGAUUCGCUAGUAAUCGUAUAUCAGCAACGAUACGGUGAAUACGUUCCCGGGCCUUGUACACACCGCCCGUCAAGCCAUGGAAGCUGGGGGUACCUGAAGUUCGUAACCGCAAGGAUCGACCUAGGGUAAAACCAGUAACUGGGGCUAAGUCGUAACAAGGUA
rnacentral:rRNA from 1 species